rnacentral:rRNA from 1 species
CCCUUAGAUGUCCGGGGCCGCACGCGCGCUACACUGAUGCAUUCAACAAGCCUAGCCUUGACCGAGAGGUCCGGGUAAUCUUUGAAACUGCAUCGUGAUGGGGCUAGAUUAUUGCAAUUAUUAAUCUUCAACGAGGAAUGCCUAGUAAGCGUGAUUCAUCAAAUCGCGUUGAUUACGUCCCUGCCCUUUGUACACACCGCCCGUCGCUCCUACCGAUUGAAUGUGUUGGUGAGGAGCUCGGAUUGGCAGCAGUUGGUGGUUCGCCACCGGCUAUUGCUGAGAAGUCCUCCAAACCGCCCCAUUUAGAGGAAGGAGAAGUCGUAACA